UUCAAAUGAGUUGUGGUUGUCAUCUUUUCAUGUAUUCAAUUUAUUGCUUCCUUGAAUACGUGGUUUCAUACUGCAAGUAAUUGGCAACUUUUGUCAAAGAAUGACAACUUUUGAAAUUUUUGGGUUCAAAUACACUCCAAAAAUUGUGGCAUGUAGUGACACUUAUUUAGCCAUGAUUAUAUAAAUGUGGUAAACUAUUUUGCAAUUAGGCACAUUUUUUAUAAUUACGCACACUUAUUAAGUGUGAGAAUAAUAGUCUCUCAAUGAGGCUAAAGGUUAAUUAAAUAAUAUAAUAUAUGUAAUCAAUUAAGCCACAUUUAUAAGCGUGACUAAGUGUCAAUUAAUUAAAAAAAUGUGGCUAAAUGUCAAUUAAAUAAAACACAACUUUCUUGCUUGCAAUUUGCAAUAAAACCAAAAGCCAAUUUCCGUUUGCCUUUCCCAGUUUCAGAGUUUACUCAUUCAAUUCCCAACACCCUAAAACUAAGCCCUAUCCACUCCACCUGGCCACCCACGACGGAGAACGCCGUUCACAUCAACCAUGCAACCAUUAACUGCUGCACGCCUGCCGCCUACCGAUCACUGUUGUCUGCUGCUGGAAAGGUCAAAACUCAAACCCUAAAAUCGCAAAUCGCAACUGCAUGGCCAGUGGAUGUGUAGGAUUAGCAGACACGUAUGGCUCUGGCCAUUGUCUGUUGCUGGCCAUCGUUAGCUACUGCAAAGGUCGAAAUCUAUUGAUUCAAACAAGAAGCACUCGAAUGCCUCUGAUCCAGUAACCUUGUGGUGCUCAAGUAGCAUCCAACCCAAGUGAGUGUCUGGUAUUGUGUUAAUUAAUAAUCAUAAGAUACUCUUCAUGUAGUUAACAAAUCAAACUGCCAUUGUUGGACUUAUUUGAAGACAUCUUCAGUGUGUGGUACCUCCUAUCAUCUUUUACUUGUUCCUUCAAUUUCUUGUAUCAUUAACAAAAGAAAGGCUCUAUAAGGCUGGUUGAAGCAGUUUUGUCUGCUCGGUGAAAGCAGGAUUUAAUCAAAGUGAAAGGUAUAUAAAGGUUAUUUAUGCGGAAGGUGGAAGCAUGGUUUAAUCAAAAUAGCAUCAUCUUUUGUUGUCUGCCAUGAAAAUGACAAUGUUUAUGUUGGAACAUAUAACUUUAGAAGUCUAAAAUGAAGUUGUAUGCUGGAAUAUAGAAGUUUAAAUUUGUAUCAUUAUUGGUUGUCUUGAUUGCUUCUAGGACAGAUAUAGGGAAUGGAUUGCUGUAAAGUUUAUCUACCCAAAGCCUACAAUAGAUGAUUGGGUGGAUGAUGCAUAUGAAGCACACGAUUAAUGGCCAUUUGAGUUGCGCCGUGCAUGAGUCAUUACAAAAGUAGAUUAUUUACAGGUGUAAGUGGCAAUUUUUGAUGGUAGUAUUGCUGUGUUUGGGAUUAAUUUUGCUCAAUUGAGAUUGAUUGAUGCUUGAUCAAUUAGACCCUGUGUUUGCAUGCUCUACAACUGCUGUGUGCAAGGUAUUUUAGCUGUUGUCGGGUUGCUGCUGUUGGCUUGUUGCUGUCAGGUUGCAACUGCUACUGUCUGGGUGGUUGCGUUUCCAACACCUAUAGCAGUUGUAGAACAUUGUUGUGUUUGUUGUGGGCUGUCUGGUUGCGUUUGCUACUGCUCAUAUUGAGUGUUGAAUAGUUCGGCUUCGGGUUGGCUGCUGCUUCUAAUGUCGACUGCCCUGAAGAUGCUGAUGGCUGGUGUAGCUGUGUGCCGAGUGCUGCUGGCUGGUGUUGCCGUUCUGGUGGCUGGUGUAGCUGUUGAGCGCUGCUGGCUGAUGUAGCUUCCGAGAGCUGUUGUGCUGCUGCCUAUACAUGGUUGUGCAGCCGCUGACUAAUGCGAUCUUGUAGCUGCGUUUGCUGGCCAGCUUGAUGCUGCUCUAUUUUGAAAUUGUGUUGACGAAUACUUGGUCUAAUUUUGUAAUGAAGUCUAUUAGAUUGCCAUCUCGUGAUGUAUAGGCUAGGAAAUGGCUUUUAUCUUUUGAGGUGCUUUGGCUUUCCGAGAGUAUGAUGAGGGGCUUGAUUGUGCUAUGGCCCCUUUUGUUUUUGACACCAAGUUGUAUAGCUUCCGUAAUUUCCCGACUUUUUAUAAAAUUUACUACCGUUGAAAUUUGGUAAAAUGUUAUGUUUAUUAGCCACGCUUAUUUGUGUCGAAAAAAUGAAAGAAAACAAUGGACUAUGAUUUCAUUCAGCCACGCUUAUCAAGUAGGAAAGUUUUCAACACUUAUAAGCGUGGCUGAAGUAGCUACCAACCACGCUUACUAAGUGCGCCUAAAAAUUUACCAACACAAGUAGAGGCCACACUUAAUUAAG